GCCAGGUGUUGUGACGGGCGCCUAUGGUCCAAGCUACUUGGUGAGGCUGAGGCAGGAGACUCGCUUGAGCCCAGGAGUUGGAGGUUGCUGUGAGCUGUGAUGCCACAGUACUCUACCCAGGGGGAAACCUUGAGGCUCUGUCUCAAAAAAAAUAAAUAAAUAAAAAAUAAAAACAGAAAUGUGAUCUUCCUGUACACACUUUUUAUUUUUAUUUAUAUUUAUUUAUUUAUUUGAGACAAGAGCCUCAAGCUAUCCCCCUGGGUAGAGUGCUGUGGCAUCACAGCUCACAGCAACCUCCCACUCCUGGGCUCAAGUGAGUCUCCUGCCUCAG
rfam:Otolemur garnettii contig106540, whole genome shotgun sequence.